GACCUCAAAUCAGGUAGGACUACCCGCUGAACUUAAGCAUAUCAAUAA
rnacentral:rRNA from 9 species